CUAACUGGAGGACCGAACCGACUAAUGUUGAAAAAUUAGCGGAUGACCUGUGGCUGGGGGUGAAAGGCCAAUCAAACCGGGAGAUAGCUGGUUCUCCCCGAAAGCUAUUUAGGUAGCGCCUCGUGAACUCAUCUCCGGGGGUAGAGCACUGUUUCGGCUAGGGGGCCAUCCCGGCUUACCAACCCGAUGCAAACUGCGAAUACCGGAGAAUGUUAUCACGGGAGACACACGGCGGGUGCUAACGUCCGUCGUGAAGAGGGAAACAACCCAGACCGCCAGCUAAGGUCCCAAAGUCAUGGUUAAGUGGGAAACGAUGUGGGAAGGCCCAGACAGCCAGGAUGUUGGCUUAGAAGCAGCCAUCAUUUAAAGAAAGCGUAAUAGCUCACUGGUCGAGUCGGCCUGCGCGGAAGAUGUAACGGGGCUAAACCAUGCACCGAAGCUGCGGCAGCGAACGUAUCACUUAAAGCGAUUCAGCGGGUUACGAUUGACGGAGCGAAGCGACGUCAAAGCGUAUACAAAGUCGAGUCGGUUUAAGGAUACGUUCGUUGGGUAGGGGAGCGUUCUGUAAGCCUGUGAAGGUGGCCUGUGAGGGUUGCUGGAGGUAUCAGAAGUGCGAAUGCUGACAUAAGUAACGAUAAAGCGGGUGAAAAGCCCGCUCGCCGGAAGACCAAGGGUUCCUGUCCAACGUUAAUCGGGGCAGGGUGAGUCGACCCCUAAGGCGAGGCCGAAAGGCGUAGUCGAUGGGAAACGGGUUAAUAUUCCCGUACUUGGUGUUACUGCGAAGGGGGGACGGAGAAGGCUAUGUUGGCCGGGCGACGGUUGUCCCGGUUUAAGCGUGUAGGCUGGUUUUCCAGGCAAAUCCGGAAAAUCAAGGCUGAGGCGUGAUGACGAGGCACUACGGUGCUGAAGCAACAAAUGCCCUGCUUCCAGGAAAAGCCUCUAAGCAUCAGGUAACAUCAAAUCGUACCCCAAACCGACACAGGUGGUCAGGUAGAGAAUACCAAGGCGCUUGA
rnacentral:rRNA from 1 species